AUAGCAAUUCUUUUGCACAACUGCAUUGGUAGGUAUUAUAAAGGGGGGAUUUCAUCAGUAUACAUGUGGGAAGAUAAUGAAGACUUUGUGGCUUGCUACCUAAUAACGAAAGAUGGCUUAAAGUCAGGGCAUGGCCGAAGAAGUUAUUUGCAAGAAGGUGCAUGGGAUGCUAUUCAUGUUAUUGAAUACAUAUGGACAAAACUAGACAAAACUUGGGUUCAACUUCCGAAUUUGAAGUGUUGUGGCAUAUUUCUGCAUAUGGUAUUGUUCAAAAGUUAAGAGAACUUUUAAUCAUCACAUGUGGCAUAUUUCUGCAUAUGGUAUUGUUAGAUUUCUUAACUCAGCUCCUUGUUGAAUCUCGCAAAUUUCUGUUACUAAGAAUACUAUACUCAGAAAGUUGUGUUGGUGUUUUUUUUUUUUCCUGGUUGUAUUUAUUAAAUAGGUAUGAGAUGAGUUGCACUAGUAGGAGCCUCACCUACUUUGAAUUGGUUGUGUAUGGAUG